UACAGAGGGUGCAAGCGUUGUCCGGAAUUAUUGGGCGUAAAGAGCUCGUAGGCGGUUUGUCGCGUCUGCUGUGAAAACUCGGGGCUUAACUCCGGGCCUGCAGUGGGUACGGGCAGGCUAGAGUUCGGUAGGGGAGACUGGAAUUCCUGGUGUAGCGGUGAAAUGCGCAGAUAUCAGGAGGAACACCGGUGGCGAAGGCGGGUCUCUGGGCCGAUACUGACGCUGAGGAGCGAAAGCGUGGGGGAGCGAACAGG
rnacentral:rRNA from 1 species